rnacentral:rRNA from 1 species
CAGCAGCCGCGGGAACACGUAGGGUGCAAGCGUUAAUCGGAAUUACUGGGCGUAAAGCGUGCGCAGGCGGUUAUAUAAGACAGUUGUGAAAUCCCCGGGCUCAACCUGGGAACUGCAUCUGUGACUGUAUAGCUAGAGUACAGUAGAGGGGGAUGGAAUUCCGCGUGUAGCAGUGAAAUGCGUAGAUAUGCGGAGGAACACCGAUGGCGAAGGCAGCCCCCUGGGCCAACACUGACGCUCAUGCACGAAAGCGUGGGGAGCAAACAGGAUUAGAUACCCCCGUAGUCCCUGUCUCUUAUAC